GAUGUAGUUCAUUGGUGGAACACUUGCCUAGAGUGUGUGAGGCCCUGGGUUCAAUUCCCAGUAUC
rnacentral:tRNA from 1 species